GCUACUGUGUUAAUGGAAGGCUAAGUUGCACAGGCAAACCUCAAAAUCCUGCAGAAAGCUGCAAAGCUCCUAAGAAAUACAUAUCAUGUUCUGACAGUUUAGAAAACAAGUAUGGAGCUGCAUGUGCCCCUACCUGUCAGAUGCUGGCUACUGGAAUUGAAUGUAUACCAACUAAAUGUGAAUCAGGCUGUGUCUGUGCUGAUGGCCUAUAUGAAAAUCUCGAUGGCAAGUGUGUUCCAGCUGAGGAGUGUCCAUGUGAAUAUGGUGGCCUUUCUUAUGGAAGAGGUGAACAAAUCCAAACUGAAUGUGA